UGGCACAUGGAGAUGGAUUGACAAUAUUAACUUCACAAUUUUGGAUACUGAGAAACAAGGCACGAAAAGAAACAUUUUCUAAAAAGAGGAAAAACAACUGCAUGCUCAUAUGAUAGAGAAUCAAUUACCUUUCAUCAAACGGCUUAAAGAAUUCUUGGCCAGCUCCUGACAGCCCUAUCGAUUCCAAAGUGGCCCUGAAACCUACACUGUUUUCCAUGAUGAUUAACUAAUUUCAGGUGGACUGGACAAGUAUGGAAUCUGAAUACAACACCGACAUCAAAACUUACCAGAAUUUAGAAUGUGUAGCCCAAAAUGUUUCCAACAAGAAAUUUGGUUUUGACCCUGAUAUGUCACAGGAUUUACCUGGAAUCUACUGACUAGCUCUACUGCAACCACAGAAAAUUUCACUCAAAACAAUAAUUAUU